AAAACAUUUCAUCCCCUAGUAUGGGAGACAGAAAAGGAAAAAGGAGCUAUAGAACCAGUACCGCAAGGGAAUGCUGAAAGAGAGAUGAAACAGCACAGUAAAGUUAAGAAGAGCAGAGAUUAGCACUCGUACCUUUUGCAUCAUGAAUUAGCGAGUAUUAGCAGGCAAGGCGCCCCAUAGCCUGCCACCCCGAAACUAAGUGAGCUACUUCAAGACAGCCUAUAUUAGGGCCAACCCGUCUCUGUGGCAAAAGAGUGGGAAGAUCUUCAAGUAGAAGUGACAGACUUACCGAACUUAGUUAUAGCUGGUUGUCUGGAAAGUGGAUUUAAGUUCAGCCCUAACUCUUCUUUACUCAGAACAUCACCGAACUCUAACAAAAAGAAGUGCAAGGAGUUAGUCAAAGGGGGUACAGCCCCUUUGAAAAAAGAUACAACUUCCGGAGGAGGAUAAAGAUUAAAGCACCCAAGGGAUGUCGUCUCAGUGGGCCUAGAGGCAGCCACCUGUUUAGAAAGCGUUAAAGCUCAAGCAUUUCACUACCCGCAUAUACCAACAAAACAAUCUAAAGCCCCUUGCAAUAUACCAGACUUCUCUACUGACAGUAGAAAAAAACAUGCUAAUAUGAGUAAUAAGAAAGCCACGGCUUUCUCCUAGCACAAGCGUAAUUCGGCAUGGACAACCCGCCGAAAAUUAACGGCCCCAAAUGAAGAGGGUAAUGACAAAUAACAAAUCAACUGGAAAAGCAUUCAAACCCCACCGUUAACCCCACACUGGAGUGCAUAAAGGAAAGACUUAAAGAAAAAGAAGGAACUCGGCAAAUCAACCAAGCCCCGCCUGUUUACCAAAAACAUCGCCUCUUGCAUCGCAUAGUAUAAGAGGUCCAACCUGCCCAGUGACACUGUUCAACGGCCGCGGUAUUCUGACCGUGCUAAGGUAGCGCAAUCACUUUGUCUUUUAAAUGGAGACCUGUAUGAAAGGAAUGACGAGGGCUUAACUGUCUCCUUUUUCCAGUCAAUGAAAUUGAUCUCCCCGUGCAGAAGCGGGGAUUACAACACAAGACGAGAAGACCCUGUGGAGCUUGAGACACCAGUGCGGCUCAUGUUAAAAUCCCUCCUCCAGGAAAAAACUUAAUGGACCCCGCCCUCAUGUCUUCGGUUGGGGCGACCCUGGGGAACACCAAACCCCCACGUGGAUCAGGAGCACUAAAGGCAAUUACCUAGAACCCAAUAACCCCCUCCUACAAACUAGAGCCCCCGCUCUAGUUAACGAGACUCUCGACUUACAAUGAUCCGGCCAACCCGAUCAACGAACCUAGUUACCCCAGGGAUAACAGCGCUAU
rnacentral:rRNA from 1 species